UACGAAGGGAGCUAGCGUUGUUCGGAAUCACUGGGCGUAAAGCGCACGUAGGCGGAUGUGUCAGUCAGGGGUGAAAUCCCGGAGCUCAACUUCGGAACUGCCCUUGAUACAGCACGUCUUGAGUCCGGAAGAGGUGGGUGGAAUUCCUAGUGUAGAGGUGAAAUUCGUAGAUAUUGGGAAGAACACCGGUGGCGAAGGCGGCAACCUGGUCCUUGACUGACGCUGAGGCGCGAAAGCGUGGGGAGCAAACAGG
rnacentral:rRNA from 1 species